GCACUUGGUGAAAGGCGGGAAAGCGUAAAGGGUAGUACUAAGUCUGGCUGCCUGUGCCCGCCGCGGGGACUAGAGGCCUCUUCCGUACAGGAGGAAGCGAGGACAUGGGAAAAGGCCUCCAGUUGUCGAAAAUGGGGCCCGACCAGAAGUGGAGGGGCAUUGGGUAGAUUUUUCACGGCACUGGCGUGGGACCUGUUUGAACUGCAAGUCGCGGCGGGAGUUGGAAAUGAGCCUGUCUGUGGUGUGAGAUAAGUGAGCACGGAAGCAAGAUGAUUCCAACUGGAAUGUGACAAGAAAGACUCAUUUGGAAGUGUGCACUUGAAAGAGCAACGGAAAACAGAUGUUGGAACCUCCAAUUGUUGGGGACAAAAGCCUUGGAUUCUUCAGGAAAAAAGAAGGCCAAGAAGGAAAUUGGAUCCAAGUUAAAAGUGUCUCUAUUCAAAUAUGUAUUAAAACUUUUUGAUCUUCAAAGCAACUUGGAUCUGAUUCAUAAAAGUGAACUCUGUACCCUUUCAAAAAUCAUGAAUUCAGGAAUGACUUUCUGCAUAGAACAGAACUCUCCAAAAUAUAUGCAAAUGAGAUAGGUUUCUACUCCUUAAAGGUACCAAAAUACUUUCUGUGUGAAAUUUUACUUGUAAGGUGAAAGGAUCCAUGUCAUUGUCUGGGAAGGUAGAUAAGCCCAUGUUUAGAUUGUUUAUGAGUCUGAGCAAUUGGUGGCUGAGUUUCCGGGAUUUUGGAGUGUUCUCCACAUCCUAUAUGUAAUGACUUUGAGAUUUAAAGGUUCUUCUUUAUUUGGUAAGUUUAGAAAAUCAAAAUCAAAUAUUUAAUGAUUUUAUUUUUAAAACGAGUUAGGCAUAACUGGCAUUGGGGUGUGGAGAAAUUCUAAGUCCAGAUAACUGUUACUGGGGGUCCUUGGGGGUGGGGAUAAUAGUUUAUUUUUCUCAUGUUUUCUUUGCUUUAACACAUCUCAGCUUUUGGUUGUCAUUUUGAAUGGACAAAUGAAGAAUUUUGGCUGUACCUUUAACCAAAAUAAUAGAAACAUCAAUUGGAAACAAUAGGAGGGAGUGUUAAAUGGACACUGUUGGACUGGAGGGAAAUUUAUUGUAUUGACAGUGUGAUAGGAGUUCUGGGACUGGACACACACAGCAGAUAGGUAAACUCAGCAAGAAAUCUGAGAUACCCUUUCCUUCUCCCCUUGCUAGGUCACAAUGUGUGCCUUUUGUUUAUGGACCCAGAAGCAGCCACAAUGAUAGAUGCUAUAAUACAGACAGAUAAAGGACAUCAAAUAACUAUAUCCACUCUUAUCUAGGGAAGAAAAGUGUCCUUUCUAUAUUACGUUCUAAAACUUCUAUAGUUUUAUCUUCGAUUAGUUCUCCCUUGCAUUGUACUUUCCCUUUUGUAAGUGGUUUGUUGUACUGAUUUAACACGAAGUUUUAGUAAACAGAUAGUACAUUGUUUCUGGACCACAUGCAAGGUUAUGUGGAAAGAUGGGCAGUGAGAGGAAAUAAAAACCUUUCAAAGGACAGGGAGAGGAAGAUAGACUGGAAUGAAAACAUACUAUAUGUUUCAUCUUUCUGCAAUGGGAAAAUGAGAAAAAGAACAUUAUAUGAUAGAAGCAACACUCAAUAUCUUACUCAAAUAAACAGUAAAGAAAUAUCUGUGUCAGAGGAAAGAAAAAUAGCAAGCAGAAUGCAAAAAUAAAUAAUGAAUAUAAAGCAAGAUGCAAACACAAAGCAAAAGAUACUAGACAUCAUGUUAUAUUUGAGUAGAUGGAUAUUUUUCAUUAGAAUACAGAAAAGUCCCCAGAAGAUAUUUUAUCAAAGUUGUUUAUUCAUUGCCAAAAUAAUAUGAUUUCUCCUGGAAUCCCAGUGAACAUUGGAUGACUUUUCCCCCUGUAUCAGAAGGCAAUAUGUAAGUGUGGCAGAUGGCAGAGACCAUUUAUAAUGAUGAAGACCUUGAAGUAUGGAUCCAGAAGUAUAAGAAUCUAAGUCAUGUUUGCACUUUAGAUUCCCUGAACCCUGAAAUGGACUUAACACAAACUUUGUUUAGACCAUUACAAUAAGUGCUGCCAAGAAUGACAUUAGUCCAAACAGUGGGUGUUUAGUAAAUCUUAAUUGGUGAGACUUCAUUCUAAGAAGACAAAGACUUACAUUUAUGUUUUCUUUGGAAAUUUCUAGUAACAAAACGAGGUGUAACGUAGCUUAAGAAAUGAGGCAUAUUAUGUGUUAUUUCUCUUCUUAACCUAUAUCCUCACAUUUUUCAAACUAAAGGCCAGGAUAAAGAAUCAAGGCAAGUGAGGUAGGUAUCUGAGCCAUGAAGUAUAAAUAUUGAAAGAUAUCAUUCUAUUUAGCAAUUACAGGAAAUUCAGGUUAUAUAGAUUUCCACUUUAAGUCCCUCUCACCCGAUAUUACAGAAUGCACAUUUUCCUAUAUCAACUAGUCUCCCCUUCAUUUCUUCAGUUAGGACAGCAUGUUCCUUCUUCCCCAAAUGUUUUUGAUUCCUAGUAUAUGUCCUGGCUUACUUUCAUAUCAUUCAUUUCCUUUAUGUAAAAUGAUUGUGUUUUUUAAAAUCUUGUGACCACCAAGUUUGUAGAAAUGUUGUUUUUUUUUUGUCUAGCAGUUGUACCAUAGCUGAACUGUCAAAUUGAGAAGAGUGAAUAGCUAGUUUGUAUUUGUUUUUUAAAUUAACAAUUAAUAAAAUUGACUUUUUAGGGGUUAGUCUUUUCCU
ensembl:lincRNA